CAAAGAAUACUAAUGUGAUCUGAUGCCCAAAUUCACAAGCUUAAGUCGACUGAUUUCAUGAUUGACUCAUCCUGAUCGGUUUCACGCGGAUAAUCACAAGCUGCUCAUCCUGAUGAUCAGAAGCUUAAGUCGAUCGAUUUCAUGACUGACGUCAAGCUCAAAAUGCCCAAACAUGAGUCAAUCCCCAAUCCUGUUUUGCGAUGGUGAGUAGUAUUCGAGUCUUCCAUUUUUGGCGAAAAAGCAAUGGUUAAUUAUUCGUCGGUUUGAGGGGCGGAAAAAGGUAAAUAGGAGCAUUUCUUGGGUGGAAUCCAUGGAAGGAUGAGGCUAAUUUCUCUAAUAUUUUUUUGUUUUGAUCUUCUUCUAUAUGUAUUGAAAUCCGAAUUUGGUUUUUUUUAGUUUUGGUUUUGAUUUCUCUUGGGAUCCUUGUUAUGCUUUCUUUGUGUAAAGAAUACACAUCCUCAGGAGUUUCAUGAUGAGUUCGAGUGGCCACUUGAUGAAUUGAAGGUGUUUGAAGAGGUUUCGAACGGUACCGAAAUCAUCGACGGAUCAGGGAAACGACGUCAUCGGAGGAGCAAUUGCGAAGCUGUGGUUGAUCUCUUCUCUCUAUCCCUUCCCCCAAUUUCUGAAAAUCAAUGACUAUAUUCGACUUCUUCGAUUAUGUUUAAUUUAGGGUUUCAUUAAGAGAGAUUGGGGCUUUAAGAUCAAGUUGGGUUUUUUCUGGCUUUAGGGUUUAAUUUAGGGUUUCUUCGAAGCAGUGGUUGUUUCUGACUUUAAGAUCAAGUUGGGUUUUUUUCCCCACUACUUUUUUAAGUUUAUUCAUGAGUCUGAGACUAACGAGCUCAAUCAUGUGAUUCAUUUGAUUACAGCUUUAGAUCUGAAAGCUUGAAGGUUGAUGAUGAGUUUAAUUUUGGUUAAAUUUGGGUUAUAGUAAUGUGUUUAGGUAAUGUGAUAUAUGAACUAUUUUUGGUUUAAAUUUUAAAGGAUUAAUUAAUUUUUAAUUAGUACAAACAUAAUUUUUUUCAUGUAUAAUUUGGUAAAUUAUAAUUUUUGUAUUUUAAUUUUUAAUAUUAAUUAUUCUUAAAUUAAAUAAUUAAUUUAUAGUAGUGUUAGUAUAAUUGUUUACUUUGUUUUAAUUAAGAGUUAAGUUUCUCUUUUCAGCCUAGUCAGCAAAAUUAGAUGAGGUGUCAGCUCCGUUAGUCUAUCUGUCAUUUUUUUUA
rnacentral:lncRNA from 1 species